rnacentral:rRNA from 1 species
UACGUAGGGUGCAAGCGUUGUCCGGAAUUAUUGGGCGUAAAGAGCUUGUAGUCGGUUUGUCGCGUCUGCUGUGAAAUUUCGGGGCUCAACCCCGAACUUGCAGUGGGUACGGGCAGACUAGAGUGUGGUAGGGGAGACUGGAAUUCCUGGUGUAGCGGUGAAAUGCGUAGAUAUCGAGAGGAACACCUGCGGCGAAGGCGGGUUGCUGGGCUGACACUGACGCUGAGGCGCGAAAGCCAGGGGAGCGAACGGG